AUGUAUAUACCCAAAGCAAGAUUUUUGGUAGAAUUAAAACAGUCUCCUGAUACGAUAAAGUUGGAUGCCCAAGUCGGCGGAUCCUCUGGAUUAAGGGUGGUGCUGCUGAACGCCAGGUCUCUCAACGGAAAAUCGGCUAUUAUCCAGGAUUUGAUCCUGGAUGAAAAAGCAGACCUGGUGUGCAAAACGGAGACCUGGUUGGACGAAGCAGGGGGGGGGGUUAAUCUCACCCAGCUCUGUCCUCCCGGGUACUCCGUGCAGCACCAGCCAAGAUCUGGAGGACGGGGAGGCGGGGUCGAAGUGGUCUAUAAGGAUUCCAUCCCCCUGACCAGGUGUCCUAUCCCACAGUCAACCUCGUUCGAAUGUCUCUACCUGAGAGUGAGUGGCCGGCACAGGUUAGGGAUUCUGUUAGUGUACCGUCCACCCCGCUGCACUACAGUCUCCCUGCCUGAGCUACCGGGGGUGGUCUCGGGUCUGGCGUUGGAGUCCCAGCGCCUUUUGGUGCUGGGUGACUUCAAUGUCCAUGCGGAGGCCACCCUUUCAGGAGCGGCUCAGGACUUCAUGGCCACCAUGGCAGCCAUGGGGCUGUCCCAAGUGGUAUCUGGCCCCACACACAGUGCAGGACAUACCUUGGACUUGGUUUUCUGUCAGGGAUGGGAAGGUGAUGGAGGUGUGGAGGAGCUGACCAUCGCUCCCUUGCCAUGGACCGACCAUUACCUGCUCAGGUUUAGACUGGCUGCGCCCUCCAACCUCUGCAGGGGUGGAGGACCUAUUAAAAUGGUCCGCCCCAGGAGGCUUAUGGAUCCUGAUGGAUUCCUGACGGCUCUUGGGGAGUUUCCCGCCACUUCGGCUGGCGAUUCUGCCGAUGUCCUGGUUUCUCUCUGGAAUAGGGAGUUAACCAGGGCAAUUGACAUGAUCGCUCCAGAACGCCCCCUCUCGAGUAGCGGAGCUCAACCAUCUCCUUGGUUCACUGAGGAGUUGGCAGCGAUGAAGCGAAAGAAGAGGAGUCUAGAGCGCGUGUGGCGUUUGAAGUGGAACAAAUCAGACCGAACUCGGCUGCGCCUCUUUCUGAAGGCGUAUGCCGCGGCAAUAGAUGCUACAAAGAACGCCUUCUUUGCAACUAAUAUUGCGUCCGCGAAAAACCGUCUGGCGGAGCUGUUUCGAGUUGUCAGAGGUUUGUUAAAUCCCACCACUCAAGAUGGGAUCCCUGACAGCUUGGCAGCUCACUGUGAAGCAUUUGCUCGGUCCGCUCUGGCUUCGACGCCAUAUUAA
rnacentral:lncRNA from 1 species